ACAUGCCUACAACAUAGCGUUAAUGCAUUGGAUCCCAUUAGAACUCUGCAGUUAAGCGUGCUUAGGCUAGAGUAGUACUGGGAUGGGUGACCACCCGGAAAGUCAUAGUAUUUUACAUGCC
rnacentral:rRNA from 1 species